rnacentral:rRNA from 1 species
GACGAACGCUGGCGGCGUGCCUAAUACAUGCAAGUCGAACGCUUCUUUCCUCCCGAGUGCUUGCACUCAAUUGGAAAGAGGAGUGGCGGACGGGUGAGUAACACGUGGGUAACCUACCCAUCAGAGGGGUAUAACACUUGGAAACAGGUGCUAAUACCGCAUAACAGUUUAUGCCGCAUGGCAUAAGAGUGAAAGGCGCUUUCGGCUGUCGUUGAUGGAUGGACCCGCGGUGCAUUAGCUAGUUGGUGAGGUAACGGCUCACCAAGGCCACGAUGCAUAGCCGACCUGAGAAGGUGAUAGGCCACGCUGGGACUGAGACACGGCCCAGACUCCUACGGGAGGCAGCAGUAGGGAAUCUUCGGCAAUGGACGAAAGUCUGACCGAGCAACGCCGCGUGAGUGAAGAAGGUUUUCGGAUCGUAAAACUCUGUUGUUAGAGAAGAACAAGGACGUUAGUAACUGAACGUCGCCUGACGGUAUCUAACCAGAAAGACACGGAUAACUACGUG